rnacentral:rRNA from 1 species
UAAUUACUGAACAGUAUCCUAAAAGUGCCAGAUCCCAUCUGAUCUUGGUAGCAAAGUAGGGUCAGACCUAAUUAGUAUUUGGAUGGGAGACCUCCAUCAAAUACCAGGUGCUGAAGCUAC